UUCAUUCUAAUUUGUAUCCUUCAGACACAGGCUGAUUUGAGCAUUAAAUGCGGCGUCGACAGACGCCGAAGCACAUCUCGCUUCCACAGGUUUGAGGGUUUGAAGGCCAGGAAGGCCAUUCAGUAAUGAUCCCUCCGCAGGUUCACCUACGGAGA
rnacentral:misc_RNA from 1 species